rnacentral:rRNA from 1 species
AGUGAACGCUGGCGGUAGGCCUAACACAUGCAAGUCGAACGGCAGCACAGUAAGAGCUUGCUCUUACGGGUGGCGAGUGGCGGACGGAUGAGGAAUACAUCGGAAUCUACUUUUUCGUGGGGGAUAACGUAGGGAAACUUACGCUAAUACCGCAUACGACCUACGGGUGAAAGCAGGGGAUCUUCGGACCUUGCGCGAUUGAAUGAGCCGAUGUCGGAUUAGCUAGUUGGCGGGGUAAAGGCCCACCAAGGCGACGAUCCGUAGCUGGUCUGAGAGGAUGAUCAGCCACACUGGAACUGAGACACGGUCCAGACUCCUACGGGAGGCAGCAGUGGGGAAUAUUGGACAAUGGGCGCAAGCCUGAUCCAGCCAUACCGCGUGGGUGAAGAGGGCCUUCGGGUUGUAAAGCCCUUUUGUUGGGAAAGAAAAGCAGCAGGUUAAUACCCCGCUGUUCUGACGGUACCCAAAGAAUAAGCACCGGCUAACUUCGUG